rnacentral:rRNA from 1 species
UACGUAGGUGGCAAGCGUUGUCCGGAUUUACUGGGCGUAAAGAGCGCGCAGGCGGUCGUUCAAGUCGCGUGUGAAAGCCCCCGGCUCAACUGGGGAGGUCACGCGAUACUGAUCGACUCGAAGGCAGGAGAGGGAAGUGGAAUUCCCGGUGUAGUGGUGAAAUGCGUAGAGAUCGGGAGGAACACCUGUGGCGAAGGCGG